rnacentral:tRNA from 1 species
GGGCGAUUAGUUCAGUUGGUAGAGCAUCUCGUUUACACCGAGAAAGUGGGCAGUUCAAGUCUGUCAUCGCCCACCA